GGGGGUAUGCUUAACACAUGCAAGUCGUACGAGGUGUAAAUAAUUCACUUGUGGAUUAUUUAUUACUACAGUGGCGGACGGGUGAGUAACACGUAAGAACCUGCCUUUUGGAGGGGGAUAACAUAGGGAAACCUUUGCUAAUACCCCAUAAAGCUGAGGAGCUAAAUCGCAUUUGCGGCCAAAAGAGGGGCUUGCGCCUGAUUAGCUAGUUGGGGAGGUAAUGGCUUCCCAAGGCCACGAUCAGUAGUUGGUCUGAGAGGAUGAUCAGCCACACUGGGACUGAGACACGGCCCAGACUCCUACGGGAGGCAGCAGUGAGGAAUUUUCCGCAAUGGGCGAAAGCCUGACGGAGCAAUACCGCGUGAAGGAAGAAGGAUCGUGGUCUGUAAACUUCUUUUCUCAGAGAAGAAGAUCUGACGGUAUCUGAGGAAUAAGCACCGGCUAACUCCGUG
rnacentral:rRNA from 1 species